rnacentral:rRNA from 1 species
CCUACGGGAGGCAGCAGUAGGGAAUAUUGGGCAAUGGAGGCAACUCUGACCCAGCCAUGCCGCGUGCAGGAAGACGGUCCUCUGGAUUGUAAACUGCUUUUGAAUGGGAAGAAUGUGCUCCUUGCGAGGGGUAAUGACGGUACCAUUAGAAUAAGCCACGGCUAACUACGUGCCAGCAGCCGCGGUAAUACGUAGGUGGCGAGCGUUAUCCGGAUUUAUUGGGUUUAAAGGGUGCGUAGGCGGCUUAAUAAGUCGGUGGUUAAAAGUAGCAGCUUAACUGUUUUACAUGCCAUCGAUACUGUUGAGCUUGAGAUAUUUGGAGGCAGCUAGAAUUUCCGGUGUAGCGGUGAAAUGCAUAGAUACCGGAAGGAAUACCAAUUGCGAAGGCAGGUUGCUACGAAUAAACUGACGCUGAUGCACGAAAGCGUGGGGAUCAAACAGGAUUAGAUACCCUGGUAGUCCACGCCGUAAACGAUGAUUACUAGUUGUUGGGGUUUAAGCCUUCAGUGACCAGGGAACCGAUAAGUAAUCACCUGGGGAGUACGCGGCAACGGUGAAACUCAAGGAAUUGACGGCNGAGAGNGCGAGCGACGACGAGGGAGAG